UACGAAGGGGGGCUAGCGUUGUUCGGAUUUACUGGGCGUAAAGCGCACGUAGGCGGAUCGUUAAGUGAGGGGUGAAAUCCCAGGGCUCAACCCUGGAACUGCCUUUCAUACUGGCGAUCUUGAGUCCGGAAGAGGUGAGUGGAACUCCUAGUGUAGAGGUGGAAUUCGUAGAUAUUAGGAAGAACACCAGUGGCGAAGGCGGCUCACUGGUCCGGUACUGACGCUGAGGUGCGAAAGCGUGGGGAGCAAACAGGG
rnacentral:rRNA from 1 species